rnacentral:lncRNA from 1 species
UGGAUUCCUCUCAGUUGCUCCAUGUACAGAGCCGUUGCGCCUUCUGCUACCUUGAACAUCCACUCGGUUGCAAAGAACUGUGCGUCCUCGUUGUUUGAAUCACCAUUGGUUGAGAUUCCUUCAGCUAGAGGCUCAAGCUGCUGAGGUAAAGUCAGGAGAUAUUAUCCAACGCUUGUAACGUAAGCCUGAGGGUAUGAGCUGAAGUUUGGUAGAGCAAACGCAGUUUGUUCCUCCACAGAAGACCAGAUUGGUAGGCGAGAUACUUCCCCGAGUCUUUGCCUGACUUUUGAUAUGAGGAUGUCAUAUACAAGUUUGUUCACUGUGUCCUCAAACGCAGCUACUCUCUGAGAUGCCAAAGGCAGUGCGUGGAACCUUGGAUCUUUUGACUGCAAAAAAAAAACAGCAAAAGGAAAUGAUACAUAUGAACAGUGUAUAUUAAUUUAUGAAUCUUUGUCAAUUAAGACUACCUGUUCCAACAGGUUUAGGAGUUUGCGAGCCUUCUCCGGAACAUCAACCAACCGAAUAGCUGCCACAUCCAGGGAAGCUCGUCCAGCCAUAGACAAAUCUCCAGCUGUUUGUUCACUUGUCAAAUGUGACAGGUUCUGAUCCAGAUUUGUGCCAAAUAGUGAAAUAGACAAGCUGGAGUUUAGUCUAGCCAGAGUGGCUCUCAAAGAAGCUUCAAACACAGAAGACCUGCUCAAGUCAGCUUCUCACCGUCUUUAUAGGAGCUUUCGUCUAAUAUUUUAAGCCUUCUGGUGUUGUCAAUCGAGACAUGGUAACAUAAAACUGUCCAUGGGUAAAUACAGGCCGGGGAAGAUAUAAAGCUGACUUGCUUUAGGCUUUGGCCUUGACUUUUAUUUAUUGUCAUGGCAUAGCUAAGUCGGAUUGGGUAUUGCCGUCUACGAAGUUAAAAGGAUGUAUGCUGUCAGUUGGGCUUAGCUGUAUCCUAGGGAGUAAUAUUCGUUCACCAACUUCUGGUCCGGUCAUUUUUAUCAAAAAAAACAAAAAAAAAACUUCUGGUCCGGUCAUAAUCUCCACUUCGACAAUCACCAAGCCAUGAUCCUGAUUAACGUUGCGCAGUGAAUUCAAAGGAGUAGCAUGAAUGUAGUUUACUCAAACCGUGCCCAAACUGAUCCGAUUCGAUUGUAUUUUAUAAAUUCCUUACUAACAUUUUCUUGUAUUCCUCCUGUGUAAUAAAAUAAUUUUAAAAUAAAAUCUAAAAAUUAAACCUGGCUGGAAUUAUUCAUACGUUAGUCUCCCAAUUAAUCUUGAAAUUUUAAUAGUUACAAAACAACUAAAAAUUUAAUAAAUCAACAAUUCCAAUUUAGUUAUAUAAUUAUAACUUUAUUUUUCUUAAUCUUAGGAAGAUUGUGAAUGAAUUUACUUGUUCCGUAGUCAUUUGUAUCUAAACCGAAACAUAUAGUAAAAAAAACUAAAUAUUAGGAAUUAGUAAAUCAGAGUAUUUCGGUUGGAAUGUCACGUAAGAUGAUAACUCGAAUAAUACUGAAAGUCUGUAUAGUAACUAAUUAUUUAAAUAUUCUAUUAUAUCAUUACUCAAAAGUUAGUUAUAGGAUGACAAAAAGUUUCCUUUUAGUAUUGUUAUGAUUUCAACGUCAAAAGCCAAAAACGCAAAGGAGUAGCAUGAAUGGAGUUUACUCAAACCCUGCCCAAUCUGAUCCGAUCACAAUUCUAAUGGAUUUUCCACUUUUAUUUCAGUUAAAAGAAUUGAAAAAACUAUAUAAGAGGGAAUAAAUUGAAAUAGUUUUUUUAUUAUUGACUGAAACAAAGAUAAUCAAAGUUGCGAAAGUACUGCAGAUAAAUAAGAAGUAUUUAAACUUGGAACAUGAAACCAUAACUGCUGGUAUCCAAUUUCUUGGCCAUCUUGGUAGAUGAGUGGGUCCUCUUCUUCGCCGAAGCAUCGGCUGGUUUCGCAUCAGUAUUCUUAUCUGCAUCACUACUGCCUUCUCCAGUUUCAACACGAACAGGAACCGGACCACCAUCUGCCAUGUCAGCAUCAUCACCAUCGUUUCUCCCCUGAUACAUUCGGAAAGUGUUACAUACUAACAGACAUACAUAGAUAAUCAAAGGUUCGCAAAAUCACUCUUACCUUAACGACAAAGUCAGGAACUGGAACACGCUCAUGCUCCUUAAGGAUGCGGGUGAUGGUGAGGUCUAAUGGUGUGCAGUGAAGUUAAACGUGCUAACUCUGACCUGGAAGGUGAAUGUUUUUCCUUCCAUGUCUGUGAUAAACAGCGGCACCUAAGAGUCCUCAGGAUUUACUCCUUCCUCAGCCUGUUCGUCAGAUUGAAAGCACCAUGUAUGUUAGCAUUUAUAUUUAAUAAUCCUUUAAGAAGACUAAUGCACAUCUUACCAACACUGACCGGCUUCACUUGCUCGGAGGUUAUGCAGCUUAGUCAUCACACCAUCAAAACACACGAAUGCACCUUCAACUGUGCUAUCAGCGAUUGCCAACUCCACACGAUAACUGACGGAGUUUACGGAAAAAAUGAAGACGUCCAUGCCUCUCCAAGGAUAGAAAUUAACGCCCUACAAACUUUCAGUUUUGAAUUAUUGCCUAUACACUAUCUAGCCCUUGAGUAAUUUGCCAAUAAUGAUUUCAAGAAUUUUAAUCAUAUUUUUCUUCCUCCCAACAAGCUAGGCAUUUCGAAUCGUGACUGUGACCAGUUUUACAAGUGCAUCACAUCCGUCUUCUCGAAGUGGACUUUUAUUUAAACGUCACCGUGCUAUCACAUACGAGUUCCUGGAGCUUUGUUUUCAAAAGUUUAACAUGUGUGUUAUAGGUUUCUACGCCGUUACUUUUCUGAUUUUAUGAUAAAGAGGUUUAAGACAGAAUUUUUACAUAAACUUUGGUUAUGAUCUGGUAUCUGUAUCUAUUUAUUUCAAGUGUUUAUGCACCUCCCUACAGGGAAUCACUUCCAAAACAAACAAACAAAAAUUAACUAUAUGAUUUCCCUACUUAUUUCUACCCAGAAACAAACUAAUAUCUUAAAACAUGAACGGUUGUUAUUGCAAAAAAAUCAAACAGAUUUAUUAGUUUGAUGGGAUUUAUUGUUUUCAAAGUCUAGCAUUUAUAAUAUAGAAUAAAUACUUUAAAAAUAUAGUAGAUCAAGAUGAGAUGGUCAACAUUUUAAGGAAAACAAGUGAAGAAAGAUGACUGAAAAGAAUAAGAGAAAUUCUUGGGUUCACCCCCUAGGUGAAUCUAUAGGUUCACCAACCAAUGAAAAUUGGUUAUUUUAUAUACAAAUUUUUUCAAAAAAGGAAACAAAAUUUUUAGAAUUUAUUUUUUUAAAUAAAAGGAUAUAAAAUAAAUAAAAAACGUAUAAUAACAAUAAAAGAUGAUUUUUUUAAUAUUGUUAAAGCUGUUCAUACUAAACACUAAAUCCUAAACCCUAAACAUGAAACCCUAAACCCUUGGAUAAAUCCUAAACCCUUGGGUAAAGAGAUAUUCCAACGGUUAUGAGUCUAUCCAUGGGUUUAGGAUUUACCCAAGGGUUUAGGGUUUAGGUUUUAGGGUUUAGGGUUUAGUAUGAACGGCUUUAACAACAUUAAAAAAUUCAUUUCUUACAGCAGCUACUAUUUUUUUAUUUAUUUUUUAUAUUUUACCUAAGGGUUUAGGAUUUAUCCAAGGGUUUAGGGUUUAAGGUUUAGUGUUUAGGAUUUAGCGUAUAGGGUUUAAUAUGAACGACUUUAACAAUGUUAAAAAAAAUUCAUUUUUAUUGCUAUUAAAUAUGCAACGUAAACACACAUAAAAAUGAGACAUCAUAUUUGGAUAUAUUUAAAUAAAUAAUUUUAAAUAUAUUAUAUUCUUGAUAAUUUUAAAAUUACUUAAAAAGAAACUAAAUUAUUAAAAAAUUAAUAUACAAAUAAAACAAAAACAAUAUUUUGUAACAUCAAAAUAAUAAAUGAAUAAAAAUAUAUUAUGUUAAUAAAAUAGAUUUUAGAUUUUAAAAACUUCUAAUUCAUGUAAUAUAAAAAAUUUCAAAAUUUGUUUAUUACAAUUAAUAUUUUACCAUUAGAUAUAUUAAAAUAAUAUUCUAGAUCGAUAUUCAAUUUUCAGUUUUUAACUAUUACACGUAAAAAAUAUUAUUAAGUACGUUUUUUUGAAAAGGUGGUUUUAUAUUUUAAGUAGGUUAUUGGAGUACUUUUUCUUUUUGUGAAUUUAUUCGAGAUGAGAUUUCGAUCUUUUAAACUACGAUAAUUUAUGUUCUAUACAUAAUUAUAUAUUUUUUACGUAACUCUAAAAUCUCGGACUUGAUUCUUCAUAUUUUAUUAGUUAAUUGUGUUACAUAUAAUAGAAAUACUUACUUCAAACUUAAAAUAUAAAAAAAUCAAAUUUAAAAUUAGUUAUAUAUAAUUUAAUAUACAAGAAUUCACAUACAAAUAAAAAUGAUAAAUAUAAUAAAUUUAAAUAUAUUAUCCGCGCGUAGCGCGGAGAAAGGAUCUAGUUAAAAUGAUGACUAAAUAACAAAAAAGUUAAUAACAAAUCUAUGUUUUUUAGUUUUAUUUUCCUUUAAGUCUUGUUUAUUGAAGUUUGAUUAGUUAUCGUUAUCUUUUAUUCAUUCCAUAUUAAAUAAUGAAAUAUUUAAGAUCUAGUUUUUUUUUGUUUAAAAAUAAUUCUACAAGUUUUAUACACUUGGACAUCAAGGAACGACUAGCUUCAAUUUCAGUCUCAAGUUGCUCGUUUGGAAACAACAAGCUAUACUUAGAUAAAUCGUCAUAUUUAACUGGAUUAUCAUUGGCAUGCACGUCAAACUAUAGGUACAUUAAUUUUCAUAAAGUUGAUAUGGAGAAGUUUUUUUCAUCGUUUAUUUUAUGAUGCUUAAACUUUAAAUUCACACGUACAUUUAUUUAUUCUCAUUCUUGAUUUCCCUCGAACGCUGGAUCUUUUUUAGCUUGCUACGGAUUUUCUUGUCUCUGACUAAACGUGGGUGUUAUGAAAAUAGUAAACCUAUUCUAAAAUACGAUAAUAAAUAACCAUUAGACUUAAUAAUUAGAACAACAAAUAUAUUUAAUAUACUACCACAACAAAAUAUAUAGUCUAGUCAACCUUUUUAUUCCUAGACUACUAAUUUGAGAUAUAUUCAAAAUUAAUGGUAAUUGAACAAUUACCAAAAUAUUACAGUCAAAUUAUUUUUUACCAUACUACUAUAUGAAAUAUGUUGAAAAUUAAUGGUAAUUGAAUACAUUCCUAACGUUGUCCAUUUUGUGUUCUUGACUCUUCCUCUCAACUAUCUGUAUAUAUAAGAUUACAAGUGCAUGACUAUAUUUCAACAUCACAAAACAAAUAAAAGAUAAAACUAAAAGCGACAGCCAUGGGAACACCAAAACUGAAGUUGGCUGUCGAGGAGUUGGAGAUGGAUCAUCUCAUGCUCCAGAUCCAAAAUGGUAGAAUGCUUGAUGACCUUUCUCAAACCGAGACUGAGAAGUUAAAGUCAUAUGCAAGUAAGAAGUUCCAAACUCUUAUGGGUGAGAUCCCAAAGGCACCAUUCCCAAUGAUACAGGGGGAAGUGUCUAUUUGAUGGAUAAGUGGAUCAAGGAUCCAUCUGAUAAGGAGGAUGAGAUGAAGAAGACCUGUGAAGGAGAGAGCAGCAAGUCUGGUGGUGCGGACGAUGCCUAAUGAAGCAGCUAGCCGUCGAAUAAUAAAAUUAAUGUGUCUUGGAAUAAAGUUGUUAUUGUUGUGUCUUUGCAUUCUCGUUUCAUAUUUCUAGUUUUUGUUGCUUUGGUCAUGUUUCCUGUUUUUUGUUUCUUGUUGUGUCAUAAACAUGUGUCUUUGUUUGCAUAUGUUAAUCUAAAUAAUGCAAUGUUUUCCCUUUGCAAUCAUUAAAGAGUUCAUCCCGUAUUUAACACUGUUUUUCUAGAGUUCAACAUAAAGCAAAUUGUUUCAGAACAAUAAGCUAUAUAUAUACACAUUAAUUUUCAUGAAUAGUUUGAUAUGGAAAAGUUUUUCUCAUCGUUUCUUGUAUGAUGCUUAAACCUUAAAUUCACACGUAAGAUUUAUUAUUGUCUUUCUUGAUUUUCCCUCGAACACUGGAUCUUUGGCUGCUUACUACGUAGCAUUUUUUUUUCUUUUUAGCAUUUACAUUAAGACUACAAAUUACUCAGUAUCUACAAUUUCAAGAGAUUUGUUUUAGAGUGUGUGUGUGUGUGUCCUACUUUUUGCAGACGCUGGUCUUCCUAUGGAUGGCAAUUGGUACCACCCGCCCCGCUGCGGUCUCUAUCUCAUGUGGAUCUUUGCGGGUCAGCCCGCCAUGACCUGCGGUACCCAAACCCGCGGGUAGUAAAAAGAUGAUGUUUCGUUGUGGUGAGAAGAUUAUGUUUCCACAUGUUUUCUUGAACGAGGACGGUUCUCAACUCAAUACUGUAACUUAAUAACAGCAUGUGCACUACUAGGACUUAACAGAAACGAAGCAAACAAACUUCUUCCAUAUAAAGUAGGACUUAACAGAAACGCAUCAUUGCUUACAGAGAAAGGAAGGUAAAUUCUAUCUCCUACAUUCAAGGACCCCUUGGCUGCCACCUUCAAACAGACAACAUCAGCUUCUUAAAAAACAGUUCUUGUCCUAACCAAGAAUUAACAAAGAGCUAUUUACCCUUUUAAGUUGUCUUCUUUGUAGUUCAUCACCGUCACAAGUCACAUGCCCUUCUCUUUUUUAACCUGAAACACAUUUACAAAUCUCUUAAUCAUGUAACUUAAUGGUUCGAUCGAAUCAUCAAAAUAAAAUAUUUUAGCUGAAGAGAUCACGGACCUGUCUUAAACGAAAGAGUUCAUGUACGAGGUUUCUAGGUAAGUCCAGACGGCAACGAAGAAUCCACCUCAGCUCCGGUGGUGGGAUCUCCAAGAAGAGAAGCUAUGAGGGUGGAAAGAAAACGGAGAGAAGCUUCACUGGUGGUUCGACGAAGAAGAGAAGCUCCGGUGGUGGCCUUAAUCAAAGAGAAGAAGAACCGGUUGGUGGUGAUGCUCCUCUGGUGCUCGACGGUGACUCGGUGGAGUCGUGGAGAACAUGAAUCGCCAUUUUCAUGAUCUCUCUCUUUUUUUCAGGUGGAAACAAAACAAAACAGGAAGUGGUGCGGGUUCUUUCUGCCCCGCAAGACCCGCAUAGUCCAAACCGCAAAGGCCCAAACCCACAUGAGACUUAACCCACGAGACCCGCUCACAAAUGGGCCUCAAUAUCUCUACCCAAACCCGCCCCGCAUGGGUCUUCUACGGGCCCGGCCCGUGGGCUGCGGUUUAUUUGCCAUUCCUAGUCUUCCCAUAAAUGUCAAGUUAUUCACUCCCACCCAUUAGUCCAACGCUUUCAGUGUAAUGAUAAAAGAAAGCCAAAGUGGAGAGGGAUAGAGAGAGUAGAAUUACACCCCAAAGAUUCCAAUAGCAUUAAUCUUCUUAAUCGCUUCCCUCAUCGCAAAACCUUCUGCCAUUAGUGGUGACAUAACAAAGUUAGUGGAGAUUGAAAAUCUCUGAGUCUCUCUUGAAGUUUUGAUAGUCCAUCCCAGUCUAGCAGCCCCUGAUGUUUCAGUCUUGAAGCACGAUUUAACAUAUGUUUUUAAUAGGAAAGAAAUAAACCACAUGUGGAACAUGUGCUAGGGGAAAACAAUGUCCCUGUAAAAAUGGACUAGACACCACGUAGUGGCAGCUGAUCAAGCUCAGUUACUAGCUCCGUCAACUUAACCUGAUUUUCAUUCCUGCAUUGAACCAACUGCCUCCUUAGAUCUUGGACCUGGUAAUUAAGCCUUUGAAUCUUAUUUUCUUGUGAGAAAAUUCUCUGCCAUAAAUAGAGAUAGUCAUAUCAUUAUUAGAUCAUACUAUGAAGGCAUAUGUGAAACUAAGAGUGGGUGGUUUUCAGAUAACUAUGGUUAAUGUAAGUUUCCUCAGAAUCAAAGCAGCUAAAGAGAAGUGAAACGGAUAAAGACAAACCUUUUCUUGCACAGACUCUUUGCCAUGUAGUAUAUGAUGUUGCUCUUAAUCUGAUUGAAUCAAGGAACGACUAAAGUUUUCUUAUAUGGAGAAGUUUUCUUCAUCGUUUAUUGCCAUUCUUGAUUUCCCUCGAACGCUGGAUCUUUCGUUGCUUGCUACGGAUUUUCUUGUCUCUGACUAAACGUGCGUGUUAUGAAAAUAGUAACCUACUAGGCAGUAACUCGCGAUGUGAGCGGAGUAAAAUAGUUUAUUAGAUUAUUUAUAGUAUGUUGUACUAAAAGAUUUGUCAUAUAGCUUUUUGGAAUAAAUAUUCAUAUAUCUGUUCGAAUUCAGUUGAUCUAUCGGGAUUUCACACUUUUAGAGUUAGAUAUUUAAAUCUUAUUCAGAUAUUUACAAAUUUUGGUUUAGAUUUGGUUUCGAAUCUUUGCGGGUUCGGAUUCGAGUUCGGAUACCAUUUUAAUCAGGUAUUUUUUAACAAAAAUCUAAAUAUACUUAAAUGCUCAAAAUCCAAAAAUAAAAUAAUAUAAAACAUAAAAAUUAAUAAUGUAAGACUAACUAUUUAAAUUUACAUAAAAAUUCAUUCAAUUUAAAUAUUUGGAUGGAGAACAAAUAAAUAUUAUCAGUAUUUUUAACAUUUACUGUUAUUUUUAGAUAUUUACUUGUGUCUAUGUUGAUAAUUUUGAGAUACUUUCAUAUUUUUUAAUAUCUAAUGAAUAUAAUAUUUAAAAUAAUUAAUAUAUUUAAAUAUAUAAUUGAGAUUUAGAUAUUUUGGUAUUCCAAAAUAUUUUAUUUUGGAUUAGAUUCGAUUCUGGUUAUCUAGAUAUUAAACUUUUAAUCCAUCUGAAUAUACUUAAUCGUUUUAGUUUGUGUUUAGUAUUACUUUCAAAUCUAGUUCGAUUCAGUUUCAGAUCCAGAUGAGUUAAUCAAAUAAAUUGUGUGUGAACACAUUAAAUUAUUUGCGGUAGAGUUAAAAAAUUAGUGUGUGAAUGCAUUAAUUGUUAAAUGAUUGUGAGGCCGACACGUCAGCAUACUCAAAUUGAAAUCAAUGUGAAGCUAUAACAUAGAAAAUAUAGUGUGAACGCAUUAAUUACAAAUGUUUCUCUUUUAAUAUAUAGGAGAUACUAAAAUACGAUAAUAAAAAAAAUAGACUUAAUAAUUAGAAAAACCAAUAUAUUUAAUAUACUACCACAACAAAAUAUUUAGGGACAAACUGGUAACCACUAUAGGAACACUAGGAAUGAGUAGGAGAAAAAUGUAGAGAAAUAAAAUUAUAGGAAGAAAAGAAAGAUUAUUCCUUACCGAUUUUAAUGAGAAACAAAUUUGUUCUAUAUUCCUCUAGAAUAAAAGGAAUGAGAAGAAUAAAAAAGAAAAAUUAUUUCUUAUAAAUGGUAAAAAUAAUUAGAAAUAGUAAUAAAUUCAUCAUUCCUUUCAUUCAGUGGUCACCAGUUAGACCCUCAGUAUAGUCAAACUUUUUCUUCCUAGACUACUAAUUUGAGAUAUAUUCAAAAUUAAUGGUAAUUGAACAAUUACUAAAAUAGUACAGUCAAAUUAUUAUUUACCAUACUACUAUAUGAAAUAUGUUGAAAUUUAAUGGUAAUUGAAUACAUUCCCAAAGUAGUCCAUUUUGUGUUCUUGACUCUUCCUCUCGACUCUCUCUAUAUAUAUAAGAUUGCAAGUGCAUGACUAUAUUUCAACAUCACAAAUAAAAGAUAGAACUAAAAGCGACAGCCAUGGGAAGACCAAAAGUGAAGUUGGCUUGGGUCGAGGAACGAAAGAGAAGAGCUACUGUUUGCCAGCGGAGAAUGAAAGAAUUGAUUCAAAUGGCUGAAGAACUAACCAUCGUUUGUGAUAUGAGUGCAUGUUUGGUCUUUUACAACCGUAAAAAUGGUAAGCUGGUGGUGUGGCCAUCUCUGGAGGAGGCUCAAUCUCUCAUCGACUGCUAUAACGCAUUACCGGAAACCGAGAGGAACAUGAAGGCGGAUGAUGAAGAGUCAUCAUUCAUCAAGACCAUUACCAAGGAGAUCGAGAAGAAACUAGAGCUUUCUCGGAAGGCUAUCAGGAGUUGAAGAUGGAUAAUCUCAUGCUCCAAAUCAAAAAUGGUAGUAGAAUGAUUGCUGAUCUUUCUCAAACCGAGAUUGAGAAGUUAAAGUCAUAUGCAAGUAAGAAAAUUGCGUAUUAUGAUAGAGAGUUACGUAAGCAACAUCCGAAUACGAGUGGCAAUGAGCCAUUUCUUGAGGAUGACAUGGGGAGAUGAAGACCUAUGAAGGAGAGAGCAGCGAGUCUGAUGGUGCGGACAAUACCUAAUGAAGCAGAUAGCUGUCGAAUAAUAAAAUUAAUGUGUCUUGGAAUAAAGUUGUUACUGUUGUGUCUUUGCAUUCUCGUUUCAUAUUUCUAGUUUUUGUUGCUUUGGUCAUGUUUCUUGUUUUUUUUUGUUUCUGUUUCUUGUUGUGUCUUAAACUUGUGUCUUUGUUUGCAUAUGUUAACCUAAAUUAAUGCAAUGUUUUCUAUUUCAAUCAUUGAAGAGCUCAUCUCGUAUGUAACACUAUAUGUUUUCUAGGGUUCAACAUAGCAAAUUCUUUAAGAAUAAACUAUAUUUUGAUAAAGCAUCGUAUUUAACUGAGAUUAUCAUUGGCAUGCAUGUCAAACUAUAGGUACAUUAAUUUUCAUGAAUAAUUUAAUUCUUUAAGAAAAGCUAUAUUUUGUCCAACGUUUCUUUUAUGAUGCUUAAACCUUAAUUUCACACGUUAGAUUCAUUGUUGUCUUUCUUGAUUUUCCCCGACCGCUGGAUCUUUCGUUGCUUGCUACAUAGUAAAACUUUUUUUAGCAUAUACAUGAACAAUACAAAUUACUCAGUAACUACAAUUUCAAGAGAUUUGUUUAAGUGUGUGUCCUGUCCAAGUUAUUGACUUCACUCAUUAGUCCAACACUUUCAGUGUAAUGAUAAAUGAAACCAACGAGAAGAGAGAUAGAGAGAGAGUAGAAUUACACCCCAAGAUUCCAAUAGCAUCCUUAGCUACACAUACUUGAUGUAGUACACCUAUAAGGACAUCUAUAAGGACCACUCCUCUUUGAUUGCUUCUUCAAAGUACACAGAACUUUCAAGUGCGCAGUGUUUAUAAACAAGUCUUUUGGGGUAUUAGGUUGAUUAAAGAAUCUUGAUUAACAUUUCAAGCCUGUGAAGUGUGUGAGAGAAAGCUUCAAUCUGCACACACCAAACAUGUGAUUCAGAAUAUAGUACUCAUGAGGAUUCAGUAGGGUGAAAAAAAUGCCCUUCUACUGUAAAACUUUUUUGCAGAGAAAGCUAUGGGCGUUCCCCAGUCAAAAAAAAAUACGCUUCUAAACAAGUUUCAGAAGGAUAUUGCAACUACUUACCUGUAUCUACUGAGAGAUAUUCAGAGACAGACACAACAUAAUAGUGUUGUACAAGUUUUACAAGUUUUUCUGAAUAUUAAUAUUACGUUUGAAUCAUUGGAAAAUGGUAAUAAUUUUCAUGAGAUUAACAGAGCAUAAACCCAUAUGAAAUUAAGUUGUGAGGGUUUUAGGAAAAUUGGAUAUUUAGUUCCAAAAUAGAGCAACGAUAUUAAGAUUUUUUUUUUUUUGUUAAAGAACAAUGUUAAGAUUUGUUAUUAUAUAAAUAUAUCUAUUAAUAGUGUUGUCAUAUAAACAUAUGUACUUAUAGCAAAUCACACUUCAAAAAUGUUCAAUUGUAUCAAAAAUGAUAGUAUACAUAUUUAUUUGUGUAUGUACAUGACUUUUAUCUUAUCUCCCUUCAAAACUAUAGUAUGCAAUAACGCUGACUUUCAUUUUACUAUUGAACAAACUUCCAAAUACGUUCCAACUAAAAACUCUAACAAUGUGAUUUCACCAUUUAUUUAUAGUAUCCCAUAAAAUAAAAUAAUAAAAUCAAAAAGAACUAAAAGAUAUCCUAACAAACAAUGAUUUUAAACUCAUUUUCAAAUGGAAAUAAUGUUUCAUAAGCUCAAACCAACGAAAAGAUCUAAUCUCACAAAUAAUUUUUCUUUUGUGUUACCAAACUCAAAAACCAAAAAAAUAAUAUGAAAAUUAAUGGAAAAGCAAAAUGAGCAAUUAUACAUAAUCAAACAUAUAGUUAAAAAAGAGUAACACUAUCUAAUAAAUUAAAAAAAAAAAAAAAAAAAGCAUACAUAUUACUAUCUCCCAAACAUCGACACACUUUUAAGGAAAGCAAAAUGACAUUGUAACAUCGUCUCUUGCAUUUUUUUAAUUAAAGAAAUUAAUUACAAAGUUUUGACGAACCGCAAUACACAAGAAAUCUAAAAAUAACAUAUGAUCAUGGAUUAACUCAAAUAAAUAAAUUUUUAAAAUAAAAAAAAAUUCAUCGUCGCAAUAAAGAUAAAAUAUUAUAUCAUUCCAAGAAUCACAACAAUAUAAUUAUGCAAUUUGGUCAACAACAGCUAAUUCAGCUCUCGAUAUCAUUAGAUAUUAUAUAAAUAAAGAUCACAUGUAAAUAAUGUUUCACAAAAACAGAAAAUUAUGCUUUUGAAAAUAAAAAUAUGUCGAUCUAAACACUUAAUUACGUCAAAAUCCCGCGCGAAGCGCGGACUUGCCCUAGUAUUGCAUAAUUAAGAGUUUAAUAAUUUUUUCGCUUUCAACCUACAUGAAUUCUUAAGUUGGUGCAUAAUUACUCUGAAACUUGUUUUUAUCUAAAAAGUAUUAUUAAAAUAUAAAUUGAAAAUUGUUCAUUCAAUAAUAAAAUAAACUACAAAAUAUCAUUAAUUAUGCAAUUUUUGAUAAAAGUAAAAAUUACAUUGAAAAAAUGAAAACAUCUUCUAUUUUUAAACAUCAAAAACUUCCUUGUUUAAAACCGACGGGGGUAUAACUUUAUUACAUUAUAUUAAGAAAACAAAGAAACUUGUCUUAUGAUAGCAUCAAAACUUGGAAAUGUGUAAUACAAAUAUGACAAUGGCCAGCCGAACAAAUUAGUUAGCAGGUCCUCUUCGUAGGGCACAAAAGCAUGUUUUUGAGAGUUCAGAGACUAAUCAAAACUGAUACGACGCAUCUUACAAACAAGAUUAGCCGUAGGGAAAUCAAGUUCACUACCAGCGUCUGAUUUCAUCACAUCUUUGAGCUCAUCUCUUGGUGUAGCCAAACACGUCUGGAAAGUUGCAAGCACAGGCGGAAUCGGCAUGGACAAGGCCGCAAGCACAUUGCUCAAGUACUCUAUAUCUACACACAGUUGCUGUGCUCCUCGGUCUGAAAUGUAUUGGAUUCCUCUCAGUUGCUCCAUGUACAGAGCCGUUGCGCCUUCUGCUACCUUGAACAUCCACUCAGUUGCAAAGAACUGUGCGUCCUCGUUGUUUGAAUCACCAUUGGUUGAGAUUCCUUCAGCUAGAGGCUCAAGCUGCUGAGGUAAAGUCAGGAGAUAUUCUCCAACGCUUGUAACGUAAGCCUGAGGGUAUGAGCUGAAGUUUGGUAGAGCAAACGCAGUUUGUUCUUCCACAGAAGACCAGAUUGGUAGGCGAGAUACUUCCCCGAGUCUUUGCCUGACUUUUGAUAUGAGGAUGUCAUAGACAAGUUCGUUCACUGUGUCCGCAAACGCAGCUACUCUCUGAGAUGCCAAAGGCAGUGCGUGGAACCUUG